AAAUCAAAACUUCCAAAGAGUAGACCUCAUCCCCUCACUCCACCCCCCACAAAAUGACAUCCAAAUGACCAUCUUUAUAAAUAGACUUCCACUAUAUCUUCCUCAUCAACGAUAAAAACCCCUUUGUAGUUUUUCCCCACCCCACGCCCAACCCCUUCAACUCGAAGUCGUCACCUGUCGACCAAAAACUCCAUUCAACAUGGUUUCCCCUUCAAAAUACAGAACCAUAAAAGCUUCAGUGGCGAUAGCAGAUGCUGUUUCAUGGAGCUGUGCCAUAGCUUUGAUUGCCUUUAUUUUAUUGAGCUCCAUAAGAGAUGGCACUGCAAAUGAUCGGGUGCGAGGAAGGCAACUUCAGGACAGACCCUGCGACGAAAUCUAUGUCGUCCAAGAAGGAGAAACCCUUCAUACCAUCAGCGAUAAAUGUGGUGACCCGUAUAUAGUCGAGCGCAAUCCCCAUAUCCAUGAUCCGGAUGAUGUUUUUCCUGGACUUGUUAUAAAGAUUACAUCUUCAAAUCCCAGGUCAAAUUAAGCUGCUGCCGAGGUUUUGACGGACCUUUGUAUUAAUCUUCUCUCGUGGAUGUAAAAAGACUGGGGUAACAGAAAUAUUUCUCGUUCUUGAUAUCUGAUCCAAGAAUUUCCUCUCUCUUUUUUAUUUUUUCACAAGGAGCCAUAGCGUUUGAUUGACUUCACUGUUGGAUAUAGCCUUCUAAUUUUGGUAUUUGAUCGUUGUUCGUCAUUUAUGAUAUAUUCUGAAAGGCGAGGAUGCCCCAAAUGAAAUUAUAAACUGAAAGAGUACUCAUUCGUUCUA